CUUCAUCUUGGUGCAAAAAUGACUUUCGACGUGGAUUAAACCAACAGAUCAACUCGCUUCGAUUGUUGGUGAUGAAGCACCAUCUCGAGCAGCCGUGUAUCGCUGGUUUUUUGUAUUCAAUCGUGUUAGCACGUCGAGACAGGAUGAAUUUCUGAAGAUUGUCCAAAAUUCAUGUCCAAAAAGUCAUAACCAAUACUACACCCUGGUACAUCCUUCAAGUAAAUGAAUUGUCGUCACGAAUUAACUAACUGUAAAAAUUAGACAGCACGGAUAUCUUUUUGGAAAGAUAAUAAUACACCUUUCAGGUAAUACACCUGUCGGUCUUACUCAACUACAAUAAGCAGUUAACCCCAAGACGCACAGGUACCAAGGUAUUUUCAAACAGACAGAAAGCCGGUCGACUUCGAGAUCCCCACAUCUAUUUAGAAGGCAAUGACCACAAGAUUUUCACCUAACGAAAUGUUUUAAACGGUCUCCAGUUAAUUCGUCUCAGUUUUUUUUUCUUAUAAAAGUGGAAUUAAUAAACGUUACUAGUAUUAUUUAUUAUUCGAUUCUUUGAUUUUGAGGAAAUGAUUUGUUUAAAAUAUCGGUUUAUUCAUUUGGGACAACGAAUUUAUAUUAAAACGUAACUAAUAAAAAUUUUUCAUACCGUUUACAUGUGCUCAAAAUGGCACCCUUUAGAUACACUCAACUUCUUUCUAUAUUUUAGCUAACGUAUUUUGACAGCUGUCUAAUACGGUACUUCCGCUCCACCAUUGUUGUUGGGGGUGCGUUCCAACUCGUCACAAUUUUUAUUACGUCGAGAUACGAGAUUUCAGGUAAACGAAAAGGUUGUCCGAGAUAAUACAACUCGUGACGGAUCUAUUAAGUAUUAUUAGUAUUACCAGGAAUUUAGUACCUAAUUCACUUUGUAAUGUGGAAAAUUCCAAUAUUAGAACCUAAAAUUUCUGAAUCCUUUGGGUAAGGUUACCCAAAUUCACAAUUUUUUAAAUAAUACUUACCGAGGAGAAUAAUGGACAAUUAUUUAACUAAUGACUUAAUUACAUUUCAAUCUAAAUUGAUUUAAAAACAUCUUACAUGUCACUUUUAAAUACUGUCCGGAGUAUUUUUUACAGUUGUGCACCAUAAAUGACGUUCACAAUGAACUUUAUAUUCCAUUAAUAUUUUGCGUUUAAAGGAAAAAACUUUUAACAAUGUGAAUAAUUAAAAUCCCGAGCUUCAUCCGUCACGAGUUGUCUAAUCUUCAUGACAACCACGAUCACGCGUUGGCACAAUGUAAUAGAAAUACCUCUUCUGGUGCAUCGGGCCACAAAUGCCCAAAAUCAAAUUUCCCACUUGCAAAAAUUGCUGUUCUUACCCACCCACGUUAUCCGAAAAGGGAAAAAACCCCAAAAGUCCCCCAGGAAACUGCCCCGGUCACUCUGGAAAACCAAAAACCCCAUACGACGUUUCCACCGACACCAAACUCGAAAUUCUGGCAACUACAGUAAUGAAUGUCACUUUGUUUGAACAAGGCAAGCUACUGAGACAUUGGGACUUGCAGAUAUUUCCAAUAGCUUCACAUUUACAUUUGCUGGUCAUACAUUUGCUCCAACUUUCGAUAGAAAGAAAGAUAGAUGUAAAAAAGGAAAUUGGGCAGGAAUAGGAUGUCGUGGUUCCACAAUAUCAAAAAUUGGACAGGAAUAAGAACCAAAGGAGACUUGAUUCAUACCACCAGAGACAGGAGGCAUUCUGAAGUUACCUACAGUACUACAUUACACAUAAAAAACUGGUUCCUGGUCAAACAUUCGAUUGAUAGUUUUUUUUGCUUGCUAGCUUAUAAAAAUCGUCGUCGAUUUUCUUGAUAACUGUCAAGAGAAUGUUUUUUUAAUCGCCCCUUUCUCGAACAACCUCUGGAAUUUUCACUUUGACUGUAUUUCCAGCAAAACAUGGGCUUUAGUAUGUUUGAAUGUCUCCUUCAACAGUAUUUUUAACAAAAGAAAGGAACCAACAUCUUUUAUUAUCUGGCUUUGUUGUCACAUUGAUGUAAAGUUUGUAGAACAUUCGGGGAAUCAAGUUUAAUUUCCUAACGGCAUACCGGGUGGAUUUUAUCGGGAUACUGACGAAAUUUUAGUGAUUGCAGUUCAAAUCUCUUAGAAGGUUUAACAACAAUCACAGAAGUAUGUAACACAAAACGCUUUCUGUUGCCCAGACGCCAUUUUGACAAAUACUGAAUUGGGUGCGCUAGUGCUAUCUAGCGGAAACCACGUAAAACUCCAGAGGUUCCUCUUUCUAAUUGUAUAUUUUUCGAUGACGUCAGAUUCAUAGUUUUAUAGUUUCGAUUUGUUUUUAUACCGAAUUAUUUUUAUCUAAAUGCCCCGUAUAACGUUACCUGUGUAGAAUGUCAGGUAAAAAGUAGGUUGAAUUAGUGAGCGUCCUCGUAGAGUAAAGGGUCAGUUUUAUAUCGGGGUCCUUCAACUGUAGAGACACUAGAACUUCUUUUUCUACCUAACCAGAACCAGUAUGUGAACAAAAGCCACAAAAAUGAAAAAAAAAGAAGAAGGAAAUAACCAAAUAACCGCUAAGGCCUGUCGUGACAGGUUACCGUUGUAAAAACCACAUUGCGUGUUAUUUGUAGGGGUUAGAUUAUCAACUUUAUUAAUCAUUUGAGUUAGGGUGAAAAAUGAAUAUAUUUAACUCAUGUUUUUUGAAAAUAAUUAGAAAAUAUGUGAGUAUAUGUUGUAUAAUGCGUAGGUAUUCAUAAGGGUAGGUUUUUAAUUAAUGAAAUAAACAUAUUACAGCGGUGGGUAUGAUACCUAUUUUAGGGGCAAAUAAAUUAUAUUUAGUAUGUUGAAAGGGUUUUAUUUAUUUCACGAACCUUAUUAUUUGCAAAUCAUAUAAAACAACAAAAAGCUUACCUAUAGUCUCUGAAGAUGACAACUUGGUUAUCGAAACGCGCGUCAGACAGUGUAAUUGGGAGUGUUGGUGUAUAGUGGUGGUGUAAACAAUUAUUAAUAAGAAUAUCAAACUCUAUGUAUAAAUAAGUUUUUUUCAAUACGACUCUAUAUUAAUAUUUACAGCUCUAUGAAAGUAGCAGCGUCGAAUUAGCAAAAGUCAAUAAAAAAUAUGUAAAAUUUUUAGCUUUUUGUUGCUAUUUAGUUGCUGAAACUGCUAAAUUUGUUGCUGCAAGUACAAGAAAAAUGGAUUGAAAAUUUAGUUGUUAAAUUAAACAAUGUUCAAAUGAGCCUAAAGAAUAAGCAACAAAAUCGAUUUUUAAUGUGGUCUUUUUGAAAUAAUUUUUAAACGGCUUCACUGAUCGAUUUCAAAACUUAACUCUAAUCUCUUAACCUCAAAAAACCACGUCGAUCGCCGCCAGUCCGGUCGAAAUUAGUUGAUAUGUUUCUGAGUUAUUCUUGGAGAAAGAAAAUCGAAAAUAGAGUUUUUUUUUAAACUUUCCGCUAAGAAAAUUGAAAAUUUUCAAAAAUUUGGAAUUUAUUGUGUUUACCCCUUUUUUCGAAAAUCGAGUUUCCCUCAGGUCUUGACGUUUUCAGGUCUUAGGAAGCUUCCGCGAUGAUGUCUGUAUGUAUGUAGGUUAUAAGAGGGGGGAAUCCUUUUAACGGAUUCCAGGCAUAGGUGGUACGCCUGGAUAUGUGAGACUCGACUUUGCGGCGCUAGUGCCCCUAAACCUCUUAUCUUCUAUCCUCUCAUCCCCUGCGGACCCGCCUUUUAGGCAUUACAUCGCAGAGGGAGGAAUUAGCUGUUGCUCUUCCUUCUGGUAGCUAAGAUUUUAUAUCUUCUUUCUUCUAGUGGACGUCACUCGCUCUUCUUUGAAUGGAACGCAGUUCCGUAAGGACUUCCGUGACAAACGAAUUGAUAGCGUUCCAGGCAGCUUCUGUUGACAGCAUUUCUUCUACUAUUGUCUCUGGCUGGAUUCUCUUUUUUAGGAUCGUCUCCAGCUCAUCUCGUUGCGGAUAGAAUCGUGGGCAGUCAAAGAAAACGUGCUCUGCGUCUUCAUUGAUUCCUGGGCAGGAUGGACACACCGGUGAAUAAUCAUGCUUGAAGCGGUGAAGAUAUGUCCGAAAGCAUCAAUGUCCUGACAACAUCUGCAUAAGAUAAUAGUUGACCUCGCCAUAACUCCGAUUCAGCCAAACGUCGAUCUUUGGUAUGAGCCGGUAUGUCCAUCUUCCUUUUGUUGCGGCAUCCCACUGCGAUUGCCAUCGUGUGAUGCUGUUCUGCCGUUCUUAAGCUCUGAGUUCCUCGGCACUUAGUGUAGUUGACCUCUUUCGUUGGUAAAGGUUCCUUCUUUCCUCAGCUAAAACUCUGAGUGGCAAAGUUCCGGAAACGACACAGACUGCUUCCUCCAGUAUUGUGCGGAAGGUGUAUGUAUGUAUGUGACCCUCUUAUAACUUUUGAAUGGCUCGACCGAUUCCAUCGCGGUUGGAGCCAUUCGAAAGGGCUUGACCAAACUUUGACUUUGAGUACAAUUUGAACCGAUUCGGACUUUAAAUAAUGUCAAAAAAAACUUUCUAAAAAAAAUUUUAUUGUCGAAAGAAAACCGAAAAAUGUGUUUUGCUGAUCGAAAAGAUCGGCCGAUUUUUAGUUUCCAUUAUGUUGUUUAUUCUCUAGGCUCAUUUGAACAUUGUUCAAUGUAACCACUAAAUCUCCUCUCCAUUUUUCGUGUAACAAGUAACGAGUUUGACUCUGCUACCUUAAUAGAGCAGCAAUUUACAGCUGAAAAUAUAGGAAUUGCAGUAAGAAAUGAGUUGUGAUAUAAACACUCCCAUUCCAACAAAAAUCUCUUUAGUUUUAAAAAUAAACUGCUAUCCACUUACACCAAAAA